rnacentral:rRNA from 1 species
ACGUAGGGUGCAAGCGUUAAUCGGAAUUACUGGGCGUAAAGCGUGCGCAGGCGGUUUUGUAAGACAGAGGUGAAAUCCCCGGGCUCAACCUGGGAACUGCCUUUGUGACUGCAAGGCUGGAGUGCGGCAGAGGGGGAUGGAAUUCCGCGUGUAGCAGUGAAAUGCGUAGAUAUGCGGAGGAACACCGAUGGCGAAGGCGGCCUUCUGGACAGUGACUGACGC